rnacentral:tRNA from 1 species
GCCCUCGUAGCUCAAUGGACAGAGCGGCAGCCUACGAAGCUGUGACAUGUGGAGGUUCGACUCCUCCCGAGGGCG